ACUAAUCUGUGAUGAAUAUAUAAUGUGUAGUCGCUUGUGCCAUUACAUAUGUUUUCCUAAAGUUUUCUCGCAUGGUCUCGCCCUUCUUCAUCUUCUUCACUGAGUCAAAACCAAAGAGCAAUGACAUUCUAAAACCCUAAUUCUUCACUGCCCUAAUCUGUUUUUGAGUUUUCUUUUUUCCGAAAUUGAGUUUCAGAAUGGAUCAACAUCUUCAUCAUCCUCAACAAUGGCAUCCCAGGCCAAUCCAACCCACCGUCUGUCCAAUUUGCACAAUGUCCCACUUCCCCUUUUGCCCUCCCCAUCCUUCCUUCAACCAAAACCCUAGAUAUCCCUUCGGACCCGAUCAUUCUUUCCAAACCUCCGGUUUUGACUCUCAUCGUUCACCCAUGAGGAUGCCACCCCCGUAUAUGGCGAAUCCUGACGAUGGUUUUGCAGAUCAGAGGCCGUGGAUAAGGAAUUCUGCCAAUUCGUAUGGGCAUGUUCCGUUCCACCCUCACAGAGAAGGGUUUUUCCCGCCACCGUAUGAUUAUGGCGGGAAUGAGUUUGUGAACGACGCUGAAAGAAGCUACAAGAGGCCGAGGGUUGAUGAUGUGGGUUCGGAGGGGGGUGUUCAUGAACUUAAUCAGAAUCAGGAUACCGGUAGGAGUUCGUUCGAGGAUGAGCGUAGGUUGAAGUUGAUUCGGGAUCAUGGAAUUGUACCGAGUGGACCGCCUGAAGGUGGGUCUAAUUCCUUGCCGAGAAUGAAUUUGGGUUCUAAUGGCGAAGCUAACAGACGCAGUCUUGAAAAUUCAGUAGGAUCUGGAGACCCAGAAGAUGUCGGUAGCUCUAGAAUCUUGGAAACCAAUAACUUCCACGAUUCGGGUAAUGGCAGUAAUAAUGGAAGAACUCAACACUUUCAUGAGAAUGGUAGAAUUGACAAGCGGUGGCCUUCCCAAAAUGAAGAAUUUUCACAUGCUCGUUAUGAUCAGGUUGGAGGAAGCCAUUGGCAUCCUCAACAUAAGCCGCACUCUGUUCAUCCUGAAGCCACCGAAGACAACUAUCUUGCUCAUAGACACGAAGUGCAUUAUUCUGAUGAUCGGCAAGCAUUUUCCUGGGUGGAUGAAAGAAAUAACAGCAAAAUGGCCGUUUUUGAUCGUGAUUAUCAGCCACCUCCUCGCUCUGAGAUGAACCCAAUCCAUAUGAGAUCGUUUUCAUCGCACGGAAAUGCUCAUCACGGUACUCGAAACUUGAAUUUUGGUGCUGGAUACGCUCCACGGCUUUCUGGGGGUGGCAGAUUCUUGGAAAAUGGAAGCUCAAUUGAAGAUUCUCGCUUCUUUUGUGAGCAACCUCCUCUUCCUGCUUCUCCACCCCCGCCUAUGCCUUGGGAAGCACACUUGCACGCUUCGGCAGAGUCUGUAGCUUACUCUUCUCAAGCAAAACCUCCAUCCCUGUUUCCUGUUCCUGUUAGUACCUCAACAAUAACAUCAUCAGCAUAUUCUUCAGCUCCUGAACACCGUUCCUUUCACCACCAUAAACCAAUGCCUCAUGUUUCUUCUAGCCCUAUGAUGGAGGAUUCCCUGGCAUUGCACCCAUACUCUAAGAAAUUUGCUGCGGAUGGCAAACCUUUUGGAUUGAAUCAAUUGCCUCCACAAAAACCCAAAGUUAUUGAUGCUUCGCAAUUAUUCAAGCCACCUCAUCGGUCUACUCGUCCAGACCAUAUCGUGGUUAUCCUUCGAGGACUUCCAGGUAGUGGAAAGAGCUAUUUGGCGAAGAUGUUGCGUGAUGUUGAAGUUGAAAAUGGUGGUGAUGCUCCUCGUAUACAUUCAAUGGAUGAUUACUUCAUGACAGAGGUGGAAAAGGUUGAUGAAGUUGAUGCCAAAUCAUCAAAUUCAAUUAAAGGCAAGAAGCCAAUCACGAAGAAGGUCAUGGAAUAUUGUUACGAACCUCAAAUGGAGGAGGCUUAUCGGUCAAGCAUGUUGAAAGCAUUCAGGAAGACCCUUGAGGAGGGGAUUUUCACCUUUGUAAUCGUGGAUGACCGCAAUCUGCGGGUAGCUGAUUUUGCUCAGUUUUGGGCAAUUGCAAAGAGUUCGGGCUAUGAAGUUUACAUUUUGGAAGCUACGUAUAAGGACCCUGCAGGCUGUGCAGCAAGGAAUGUGCAUGGGUUUAACCUCGAUGAUAUACAAAAGAUGGCUAGACAAUGGGAAGAAGCUCCGCCUUUGUACUUACAAUUGGACAUCAAGUCUUUAUGUCAUGGGGAUGACCUUAAAGAAAGUGGAAUUCAGGAGGUUGACAUGGAUAUGGAAGAUGAAGACGAUGGUAGUCCUAGUUUUCAAGAAACGAUGUCAGAGAAGACUGCAUUACCUUCUCUAAGACAUGAUGCUUCUGAAGAUGAUGAGAAGAGAUGGGAUGCAGAACCGGACCAUCUGAGAGAGGAAGUAAAGGAGUUAGGUAGGAGUAAAUGGUCAAAUGAUUUAGAUGAUGAUGAUACAGAAAGAACUGAUGGCCGGAACGGUCACUCAAAUGCUCUUUCUGGUCUGAUUCAAGCUUAUGCCAAAGAAGGAAAGUCGGUUAGCUGGAUGGACCAGGUUCGUAAUACCGGAUUCUCAAUCGGUGCUGCAAAAAAGGCAAACAGAUUAUCUUUAGUAAUUGGUCCUGGCCCUGGAUAUAACCUGAAAUCCAACCCAUUAGCAGAAGAAGAAUAUCGUGGUUCAACCCAAAACAGUAACGAGUCAAAGAAACACAGCAGAUUUGAGGAGCGACUCCGUGCAGAAAGUGAAUCAUUCAAAGUUGUCUUCGAUAAAAGACGACAAAGGAUAGGAGGACUUGAUUGGGAAGAGGAAUAGGGAUUGGUCAAGAAGCAUAAAAAUUUAGAUAUGGAAGCAUACAUUUUUUUGUACACAUUUUCUGAGAGGAGAUGUUGAUCUCAAUUCAGAAUGAGGACCUGCAAAUCGUGUAAGCCUUGUGACGAAGGUCCCGGGUUUCGAAUGGAUAACAUCUUUCUUGGAGUAUCUUUUGAUGGGGUUCCCAGAUUGGAUGAAGAAAGCUCCAUUCAUCAUCAGAUCUCCCUCUGACCUCCAGUUCCAAGAUCUCCAUUCGCUUUCCGGUGCAUACACCCUUUUCGUCACCUACAUCGGCCAACAAUAACAAUUUCUCAAUACAUUGCUAAACAUUUGGACAUAUGUAAGAUAGGGAGAUAUUGUUUCCUGUGUAGGUUGGUUUCAAUGGAUAAUACUCAAGAACCCAAUUAAGAGCAAGCUCUUUAGGAAUGGAUGUAGCUGUGUGAUUAUAAGUGAUA